rnacentral:rRNA from 1 species
AUGAACGCUGGCGGCGUGCCUAAUACAUGCAAGUCGAACGAGUUCUGAUUAUUGAAAGGUGCUUGCAUCUUGAUUUAAUUUUGAACGAGUGGCGGACGGGUGAGUAACACGUGGGUAACCUGCCCUUAAGUGGGGGAUAACAUUUGGAAACAGAUGCUAAUACCGCAUAAAUCCAAGAACCGCAUGGUUCUUGGCUGAAAGAUGGCGUAAGCUAUCGCUUUUGGAUGGACCCGCGGCGUAUUAGCUAGUUGGUGAGGUAACGGCUCACCAAGGCAAUGAUACGUAGCCGAACUGAGAGGUUGAUCGGCCACAUUGGGACUGAGACACGGCCCAAACUCCUACGGGAGGCAGCAGUAGGGAAUCUUCCACAAUGGACGCAAGUCUGAUGGAGCAACGCCGCGUGAGUGAAGAAGGCUUUCGGGUCGUAAAACUCUGUUGUUGGAGAAGAAUGGUCGGCAGAGUAACUGUUGUCGGCGUGACGGUAUCCAACCAGAAAGCCACGGCUAACUACGUGCCAGCAGCCGCGGUAAUACGUAGGUGGCAAGCGUUAUCCGGAUUUAUUGGGCGUAAAGCGAGCGCAGGCGGUUUUUUAAGUCUGAUGUGAAAGCCCUCGGCUUAACCGAGGAAGUGCAUCGGAAACUGGGAAACUUGAGUGCAGAAGAGGACAGUGGAACUCCAUGUGUAGCGGUGAAAUGCGUAGAUAUAUGGAAGAACACCAGUGGCGAAGGCGGCUGUCUGGUCUGUAACUGACGCUGAGGCUCGAAAGCAUGGGUAGCGAACAGGAUUAGAUACCCUGGUAGUCCAUGCCGUAAACGAUGAAUGCUAGGUGUUGGAGGGUUUCCGCCCUUCAGUGCCGCAGCUAACGCAUUAAGCAUUCCGCCUGGGGAGUACGACCGCAAGGUUGAAACUCAAAGGAAUUGACGGGGGCCCGCACAAGCGGUGGAGCAUGUGGUUUAAUUCGAAGCAACGCGAAGGACCUUACCAGGUCUUGACAUCUUUUGAUCACCUGAGAGAUCAGGUUUCCCCUUCGGGGGCAAAAUGACAGGUGGUGCAUGGUUGUCGUCAGCUCGUGUCGUGAGAUGUUGGGUUAAGUCCCGCAACGAGCGCAACCCUUAUGACUAGUUGCCAGCAUUUAGUUGGGCACUCUAGUAAGACUGCCGGUGACAAACCGGAGGAAGGUGGGGAUGACGUCAAAUCAUCAUGCCCCUUAUGACCUGGGCUACACACGUGCUACAAUGGAUGGUACAACGAGUUGCGAGACCGCGAGGUCAAGCUAAUCUCUUAAAGCCAUUCUCAGUUCGGACUGUAGGCUGCAACUCGCCUACACGAAGUCGGAAUCGCUAGUAAUCGCGGAUCAGCACGCCGCGGUGAAUACGUUCCCGGGCCUUGUACACACCGCCCGUCACACCAUGAGAGUUUGUAACACCCGAAGCCGGUGGCGUAACCCUUUUAGGGAGCGAGCCGUCUAAGGUGGGACAAAUGAUUAGGGUG